AAAUAACUUACGGUCCCACACACCUUAAAUCUGAAUGCAUUCUUGACCUUUGACAUAUUAGAAAUCCGAUUCGUAGCUCAAGUACCGAUUUAAUUAUUUUCUGAAAUUUUCAAACAAUUUUACGACAAUUUUUCCGUUGGCCCGUUUACACCGCCAUUACCUUGACCAAAUGGUAAGAAUUGUUGAGUGCAUGUUUUCGUGUAAGAAUAAGAGGUAGUAGCAAGUGGACCCGUUGAAUCAGAAGUAAAGUAAAAAUCAAAUCCACCGAUAUAUGCUCCAUUUGCUACAACAAAUCUAACGGGCAAAAAGUAGCCUUCAGGAUAAUUGCCUACAGUGAAAUUUCCCAUGCCCACAGUUCCUAAACCCAUAUUAGGCGACUCAUGCCAAUAAGAAUACGCAUCAAAGUUAUUAUUGGACCAACCAGAAAUAGCUUUAUCACCAAACCAACCAAAGAAAACAUCAUCUACAUUGUUAACGACUAGGGUGUAGGUAUCAGUUUCUGGGAUUCGUAGAAAGAACUGGUAAACAAUUACUUUACAGGCACAGUAGGUCGAAGCCAUAUCUGAAGCCUGUGGUGGAUACGGUGGGAGAUACCAAGACGAAGCCCACUCAGGUAUGUCAUCUGUAGAACUAAACACACCGGUAAACAAUGGAGAUGACUGAUCCAAGUCUGAGGAACCAAAGUAAGCGGGCUCAUUAAAAGCAAAGACAUCAGUUUGACCGUUUUUAGGAUAACAGAAUUCGUUCAUUGAUGAUGAAAUUGUAUAAUCAUAAACAGCAUACUCUAAACCACGAACGCCAUCACAUAUAGCUGUUGGAAUAACAACAACUGUGGAUGAGCUAAACGUCUCCGUAGUAGCGACCGUACCACUAUAUACGGUGGUAGGAUUAUUUUUAGGACUUACUAUCUCGACAGUUCCUGAAACAGUACCACUAGCUUGUGCUAGCGUAGUAGUAAAUGGUAAAGUACCACUUGUUAUAGUCUCAGUAACUGUUCCUGCAGUUGGUUCUACUAUUUCGACAGUUCCAGAUGUAAUGCCCUCUGCGGGAAUCGUUGUGGUAUAUUCAGUGGAACCAGAAAUAGUUGUUUCCGUAACAGUUCCUACUGUGGACACAACGAUAACGGGAGAGCUGUGCGAUUGCGUGCUUGUUGUGAUGGAUUUAGUCGAGGUGGAUUCAGGAUAUAUUGUUUUUGUGUCUGGAGACGUUCCUGAUGUGUAAAUAGUGGUAUACUUUGGACAUGAAACAGAUACUUGGUUUGUUGUGUCACUUUGUACACUAGUUGAGCUUGCCGAACAACCAAAUGUGGAGUAGUUAAAAAAAUAUAGUUGAAUGAGAAAGAUGGUACGAAAAUAAAGAAAGAAG
rnacentral:lncRNA from 1 species